CCAAUAGACCAGACGUCGUCGUCCCAGCUCGAUUCCAGGCAGAAAAUUAGGAAAUGGAGAUACGAACGCAUAUAUACAGAGGAAGGAGCUGAAGAAGAGAAGCUCAAAGGCGAAACUCCGUUGACGAGAUUUUCAAGUUUUUAAAUUCAGGGUUAAUUUGGUUAGGUUUCUGCCCUCUGAUUGAAGCUUUGAAAUGAAGGUGAAGGUCUGUAACUGAUAUGAUGUCGGUGAAACCAACAGUUGCAUUGCGAGCUAUACUUGUAGGAGGAAUAGCAGCGUUUGCUAAAAUUGGAGGAGCGAUGAAAGCUGCUGGUGGAGUGAAGCUAGGCGCCGCGGCUGCUGCCGUGAGUGCCGCAGCGACCGCUGCAGUUUCCGGGUCGAAGCAGGAGGCAAAGGAUGCUCCAGCACAACCUUCAAAAUGACAUCAUUUUAGGUUAGAUUUUGGUUAUGCUGAAACUUAAGCAUUUUUUCCCAAUAAAUGUAGCAUAUAGUUGAAUAACAUUGUAGCAUAAUGGUCCCUGACAGCCAUUAGUGUUAGGUUGUUGUAAUCUGCAGAUGAGGGAUAAACAAACACGUGAAGAAAUUUUGUAUUUUACUAGAAACUUCACUUGUCUCUCUGCCCCAAGACGGCAGUUAGGGAUGUAAAUGAAUCAAGUACACACUCAAAACACAUUUGUUUGUCGGAGUGUGUUGGGGAUUUCUCGUUUUAAA